AAAUUGAAGAGUUUGAUCAUGGCUCAGAUUGAACGCUGGCGGCAGGCCUAACACAUGCAAGUCGAACGGUAACAGGAAGCAGCUUGCUGCUUCGCUGACGAGUGGCGGACGGGUGAGUAAUGUCUGGGAAACUGCCUGAUGGAGGGGGAUAACUACUGGAAACGGUAGCUAAUAAUCUACAACGUCGUAAGAUCCAAAGAGGUAACCCUUCGGCCUCUGCCAUCGGAUGCGCCCAGAUGGGAUUAGCCAGUAGGGUAACGGCUCACCUUAGGGCAACGAUCCCUAGCUGGUCUGAGAGAGGACACCGUCGCCAAUUGAACUGAGGACACGGUCCAGACCCUACGGGAGGCAGCAGGUCAUCAUUGUAACAAUGGCGCAAGUCUGGAUGCAGCCAUGCCGCGGUAUUAAAGAAGGCCUCUGGCUGUAGCACUUUCUGUGGGAGGAAGGGAGUAAAGUUAAUAAUUCCUUGCUCAUUGAUCGUUACCCGCAGAAGAAGGACCGGCUAACCUGCGCCAGCAGCCGCGGUAAUACGGAGGGUGCAAGCGUUAAUCGGAAUUACUGGCGCUGCACGCAGGCGGUUUGUUAAGUCAGAUGUGAUCCCUGGGCUCAACCCGGAACUGCAUCUGAUACCGGCAAGCUUGAGUCUCGUAGAGGGGGUAGAACGUGUAGCGGUGAAUGCGUAGAGGAUCUGAUGGAUUGGUAUGGGCGGCCUCCGGACGGAGUUAUCUGACGCCCAGCGGAAAGCGUGGGGAGCAAAACAGAUUAGAUAAUUGCAGUCCACGCUGCAAACGAUGUCGACUUGAGGUUGUGCCCUGCCGAGGCGGCCUGAUUAAUCGCGUUAAGUCGACCGCCCUGGGACGUGGGCCGGUUAAAACUCAAACGAAUCGGGGCCCGUACGCGGUGGAGCAUGUGGUUUAACCGAUGCAACGCGCGAAGAACCCACCGGUCUUGACAUCCGCCAGAACCUUCCAGGAGAUGGAUUGCGCCUCGGGAACUGUGAGACAGGUGCUGCAUGCAUGUCAGCCGCCUCGUGCUGUGAAAUGUUGGGUUGUCCCGCAACGAGCGGCAACCCUUGUAUCCCUUGUCGCCAUGCAAUCAUCGGGAACUCAAAGGAGACCGCCAGUGAUAAACUGGAGAGGAAGGUGGGAUGACGUCAAGCCACGCCCUUACGACCGUGGCUAUCAAAGCGCGAAAGAGAAGCGACCUCGCGAGAGCAAGCGGACCUCAUAAAGUGCGUCGUAGUCCGGAUUGGAGUCUGCAACUCGACUCCAUGAAGUCGGAAUCGCUAGUAAUCGUGGAUCAGAAUGCCACGGUGAAUACGUUCCCGGGCCUUGUACACACCGCCCGUCACACCAUGGGAGUGGGUUGCAAAAGAAGUAGGUAGCUUAACCUUCGGGAGGGCGCUUACCACUUUGUGAUUCAUGACUGGGGUGAAGUCGUAACAAGGUAACCGUAGGGGAACCUGCGGUUGGAUCACCUCCUUACCUUAAAGAA
rnacentral:rRNA from 1 species